rnacentral:lncRNA from 1 species
CCAGGUCAGCAAAUACAGGGCGGCCGAGCUGGCUCUAGGAUUACACUCCCCACAGCUAAGAGCCUCUUAGCCAGGCCCAGUCCUGGCUCCCAGAGCCCCAGGAGGCCAGUUGCCCUCGCUCACGGCUGGCCUGGCAGGGGGGGGACGUGGUUUGUUCCACGGCCAGCGCCGCCCUGGGGAGCAGGUGCCAGGGAGAACGGGGGUGUUGCACCCCGAGAGGUCACAUCAGAAGAGCCUGAGGGGAGGAACCGUGGGACUCUCCAGACAAGCAGCCCCCUCAAGUCCCCCAGCCCACAAUCCCGUGCUGGCUCGGUGGCUGCCCAUGACCAAAGCCCCCAGGCAGGGGUGACAGUCACCCCGGAGGCGGUGGAGAAAGCAGCAGCAGANGACAGCCACCCCGGAGGCGGUGGAGAAAGCAGCAGCAGCAGCGCCGGGGAAACAUGCCCAGGCUGUGAGGAGGUAGCGCUCCAGGCUGCCUGCCGUCAUUGUGUGGGGUGGGCCAAGACCCAGCCUGGGCCCGUUUUCCAGCCCCCCCGACACCUCAGCCACUCCAUGGGGGCCGGUGCACGGCUUGUGUGGGAAUCCUUCGGUGUGGGCUGGAGGGCCACCCAGCAUGUCCCUUUUCUAUCCCCGAUGCCCAGUAAAUGCAGCAGGGCCUGUCGCCGCAGGGGAGCCCGGGAGGGUCCCUGCUGUCCCCAAGCCCUGCUAACGCUUGGCCUGACGUGUUAUAGCUGUUCCCCUCCCCCUGGGCCGAGAGCCGUGUCUGGUGUUCGCUCAUUUCUGGCCCUGGGUCUGAGCCACUCGCUGCCGGGGACGAGAGCCACCGGCCCAGGGGCCACUUGGGGUGGGGGUAGGGGUGGGGAGCCUCUUUCAUUUGUUUUUAUGUUUGUGUUUUAUCUGACAAUAAAAAAGAGGAAAGAAAAUGGAACUACCCCAGUUGUGGGCCUGGUGUGGCGCUGGGAGCAUCCCAGGGCCCCUGUCGAAGGUGCUGGCUGCCCUUUGGAGCGUGGCUUAGCCACUCACUGCAUAGGCUGGUGGGGGGCAGAAGGGUGCCCCCAAAUUCCAGCACCACACCUGCACUGUGCAUGA